rnacentral:rRNA from 1 species
CGCCAGACUCCUACGGGAGGCAGCAGUGAGGAAUAUUGGUCAAUGGGCGGGAGCCUGAACCAGCCAAGUCGCGUGAGGGAAGACGGUCCUAUGGAUUGUAAACCUCUUUUGUCGGGGAGCAAAGAGGCCUCGUGAGGUCAAAAGCGAGAGUACCCGAAGAAAAAGCAUCGGCUAACUCCGUGCCAGCAGCCGCGGUAAUACGGAGGAUCCGAGCGUUAUCCGGAUUUAUUGGGUUUAAAGGGAGCGUAGGUGGAUUGUUAAGUCAGUUGUGAAAGUUUGCGGCUCAACCGUAAAAUUGCAGUUGAAACUGGCAGUCUUGAGUACAGUAGAGGUGGGCGGAAUUCGUGGUGUAGCGGUGAAAUGCUUAGAUAUCACGAAGAACUCCGAUUGCGAAGGCAGUUCACUGGACUGCAACUGACACUGAGGCUCGAAAGUGCGGGUAUCAAACAGGAUUAGAUACCCUAU